ensembl:lncRNA myosin-11-like
AGAAUUCGAGAGCUGGAGGACAGGAUUGAUUUGCAAAAGAGACUAAUAAAAGAAAUCGAGGAAAAGGUAUACACUGGCUUCUGUGAUCUUCAAGAACAAGAGGAAUAAGAAAUGUUAAUAAAAAGACUAAAUUCAUUCUCUGUUGGUUUUUUCCCUCUCUCCCUUUUGUGUUCCUUUAGUUUUUGUUCCUCUUCUUGUUUUUCUCUUUAGCAUUUAUUCUUUGGCCUUAGAGAAAAGGACUGUGAACCCACUUCAGGUACUUCUGUUAAUGUAUGAGGGGAUUUGGGAACAUAGUGUUGACACUUUUCUGAUGAAGACAUUUUUUCACAUUUGUGUCUCGUUGCCAGGUGUUGAGGAGCUGUGGAGCAGAACGUGGUCGAAACAAAUCCUUUUUUUAUGCAUUUGUACACAGUUAAACAAACCUGAUGGCCUUUUUUGAUACAAUCGCACUUUUGCAGAAGAUUGCUAUGAAGAAUUCAAACCUCUUUGAGAGUUUUUAUAGAUCACCAGAUACUCCUGAGAGAGAAAAAAAGAUGUAUUUAUGAUGAACAUCCUCUUAAACCUGAGACUUAUCAAUAGGAGUAAACACAUGGAUUUACCACAAAGGAAACUAUGAAUGGGAGGAUUUACGACAAGGCUCAGUCUCCACUGUGGAGAGGAUGGAGAGAUGGAAGGAGGAGGAGUAGAAUCCAAGUAUGCUAAACGCCAAUGGGAGAUUCUGGCUAGCAACUGUGGCAUCGCUACGGAAACGACAAAGUUCACAGAUUAAACAGCGAAGGCAUCACAUGCUUUGUGGUAAUCGAUUGGAUUCAAUGGAAAGAAAAACAAUGGAUCAGAGAAGUAGAAAGUCAGAGUGGACAGAAGGUAGCUUCUGCUCUUCCCAGCAUGCAACCCUCUCAGAGGCUGGAUCAGAGGCUGCACAUGACCAGGGAGGAGCUCCAGACUAUGAGUGAGGAGGAGGAACGAGGGGAGCAGGUCUGUAGGGCGAAGCUGCUGCGUUGUCAAAGACAGCUGAAGGCCAAAGAGGAGGAGCUGAGUCGUCAGUCGCAGUAUUUUCAAAACUUUAAGAUACAGCUCCAACGGAAGCUUAGCGUGUCUCGGGACAGAGAGCAGAGUCUGCUCAGUCGCAUCUACGCCUUGGAGAAGCAGCUACUUGACAUGACUGUGAGUGCUGCCACAGGCAUGGCAACCAUGAAAGCUGCCAGAAUCACUGCUGGGAUCGUCACAUACUUAGAAGAACAAGAGAGAGGAGAGGGGGAAGGAGAGGAGGAGGCGAAGGAGGACAGAAAGAGGCAACAGCGUCCUAGCGUGGGGAAUGAGAGCGAUGCCGAAGGAAGUAGAAACAUGGACAUCACAAACGGUACUCGACUGCAAAGCUUCAUCAUUAGCCUUCAGGAGGAUCUCCGGGUGCUGCUGGAGAGGGAGGAACAGUGGAUGACCGAGCAGAGGAGCCUCACGGAGCAGCUUCAGGAGGCCCAGGAGAGGAGCAGCUUCCUGGGCUGCCGAGCGGAGGAGAUGAAGGCCGAGGUGCAGCAGCUGAAACUCUCAGAGAGCUGCUGGAUGGAGGAAGUGGAAGAUCUGCGAGAAGAGAACCAGCAACUACAGCAGCUCCUCAGAGAGAGCAGCUCGACUGUGAUCUCCAUGGAGUCAUCGUCAGCACGGAGCUCUGGGAAGGUGUCAUCAGGUGAAAAGGUAGUGCCUGUAGGUCGCCACCAGGCUGCAGUAGAGAGCACUGAAAGCACAAGUGGACCCACUAAAACCUCCCUCGCCUUCACUACAGAGAUAGUAGAUGAGUUUAAACUGGGAAACAUGAGCCUGGAGGAAUCUCCCAGUGAGGAAUCUGAUGCCCUUCUGCAUGCCUACAAGAGUUUGGGAUUAGGAGACGAUGUUCGGGCUCUUCAGGAGCAGCACAGAGACGUGAAGGUAUCCCUGGAGGAUAACUCUAGUCACAAAACACAUGACAGCCAUGUUCUCCAUGCCUCUUUUUGCCAAGACGAUCCUUCUUCCACGCAGGAUGAUCUGGUCUACGCCCUGAAUCAGGAGAACCGGGCCUUGGCUAAUCGGAUUCAAGAGCUGCUGUAUCACAUGGAGCUCAGAGAGGAGGAGAUCCCGAAAGAGAAAACCUGUCUUAGAGAAGAAAUCAAGCGGCUGCAGGAGAACGAGGUCAGGCUAGAACAGACGAACCAGGAACAAGCCGGUUUGAUCUCAGAACUCACAAAGAAAACUGAAGAUGAUCUGAAUGCCAUCAUGGAGCUGCAGCAGAAACUGGCAGAGAUUAAAGAUCUACAAUAUCUACAGGACUGUAAGGGCCCAGGUUCUGCAUCUGAUAGUUUACAUAGUGGUCAAUGCUUCAAGUCUUUAGAUGGAAACUCACCCUUUAAUCAGGAGACCUUUGACUCCAUCCAGAGCCUGAAAACCCAACAAGAAGAACUGAGCGCCUCCAUAAAGUCCUUCAAAGAGCAGCAGAGAGACGUUUCCCAGUCAGUGCGAGCACAAAACGAAGAGAAACAACAGUUGACUCGGGACAUCUGGGGACUGAAGGAGGAGAAAGAUCGUAUCUCCAGAUCUGUGGCUGAGCUGAAGUUAGAGAAAGAGAAGCUCAACAGGACAGUGUGUGGACUGAGAGACGAGAGAAAACAGUUCACCAAGUCAAUGAGUCGCCUAAAGGAAGAGGAGGAACACAUGAAAAAUACAUUAUCUGCCCUGGAAAGAGAUAAAGAGGCAAUGAAGAAAUGUCUCUCAACAGAAACAGAGAAGAGAGAUCAAAUCAUUCAAUCAAUGCAGAGUUUACAGACCGAGAGUGAGAAGUUAAACCGAUCAGUGUUUCAUUUGAAAGAAAAACGAGACAAACUAUGCAAGGAUCUUAAAUGUGAGAAGGAGCAGAGAGACCAGGAGAUAGGAUGUGACUCAUUAAAAGAAGACCAAUUAGUCAGUAGAUGGAGAGAAGGAAAGGAGAAACAGGAAGUGCUGAUAAUUCAGGGCCUGAAAAAACAAAAGGAAUCUUUACAAUCUGUUGCCUUACAAAUCCAAUCGGAGGAGAGCAGUAGUGAAAAGACGGAGCGGUCUGAGAGUCCAGCAGGUCCAACAGAGGAGCAAAGUGACGUGAGGAGGACAAUUGAAGCUUUAAAGGAAGCGUUGAAGAAGUUGCAGGAGGAGAUUGACCAGAGCCAUUUGGAGGCCAAACAGCUGCAAAGUGAGCUGCUUGAAUCAGAAGGCAGGAGGGAGGAGGCCGAGAGAAGAGCGGCUCAUGCAGCGGAGAAGGUGACCAGGCUGACAAUGGACAAGUGUCUGAUGGAGGACGUCAAGAGGGAAAAUAACAGCCUUAGUGAACAGGUGAUGGAGUUACAGAGCACAGUGUCUGCUCUGAUCAAACAAAAGUGUGAAGCUCUGUCACUGAAGGAUCAAAUAGAAGAGCAGCAUCGUGUCCUCUCAGCUCAGCUAAAAGCCAAAACCGAGGCUCUGCAGGAGCUGAACGCAGAGUACAUGGCGUUGAAAAGACGACGUGUCGGCGAGAGCGUUGAGGAGGAAGUUCUCGUUUCACUGAGGACGCGUUACAACGACAUCAGAUCUAAGUAUGAUGCACUCCUUAAAAGGAAAAGCCAGACCGAUUUUGAAGCAGCGCCUUUAAAGGCCAAGCUGUCCUGCCUGGUGUUAAAGUGUCGGGAGAGGAACGAACUGUUGGCCCAGAUGAUGAAGGUCAUGCACAGACGAGGAUGUGUGGACUCCCAGCUCUCUCAGCAGGUCGAGCAUUUGCUCAGUGACGCCGCCCUGCAGGACUACACCACAGCUUUCACACCAGGAAACCACACCAAAACUCAACAUAACCACACUGGAUAUGCGACACAACUCCUAGCAACACUUCAGGGCUGCACGCUUGUAUCCACGUCUCUGCACGAGCAGGACAAAGGCAAAGUGCUGGCUGAUCCUGCUGAGUCAUGCUUUACCAGUGAGAAAUGCAGCCAUCAUCUCCACGUCGUUGCUCCUGAGGCUUCACCACUGAAUGAAAAGUCAGCCGUGCCAUCAAUGCAGGAGCCUGACACGGUUCAGCUAACUUCCCGUUCCACCAAUGAACAUCUGACCACUAACACAGCACAGCUGUCUCUCUCUAGAAGUCAAUCCCCCAGAAAUGGUUUCCAUCACACCCAAGACAAGUGUCAUCCAGUAUCAGCUUGGAAUCCUGCCUCUCCCUCGUCCAGUACGCGGCUUUCAGAGACAGAAGGAAAAGACGAGUCGACCAGGAGGACUCGGUCCGUCUCAGCCUCAGCAGAGCUCGAUCACGCAAACGAGCAGAACCACAGUUUGAACUCCACAACACUUUUUAAUGCAGUCGCGUCUCGGUCUGCGACGCUCACUACCUCCAGGUUUAUUAACCACAAUACAUCCACCACUACAUCACCCAGUGAACUCACAUUCCCUUCAAGCAGUGGUCCUAAACAUACAGACGUGAUCACUCCUGUCCCUGAACUAUCUGAUGCCAAACAACCAGAAACUCUAGAAAACACCAUCACUGACGUUAAAGAUGGGAUUUCUGAAGCUACAACCUCAGAAUCAGCUGCUCUUGACGCUAAUCCCCUUAAAGAUAGAGAUGUGUGUGUAUCUAAUAGCUUAGUACGCAGUAGCAAACACACCCAGUGUAUUCAUGGCUCUCUGAAGAGGUCCAACAAGCCUAGCAGGAAGUUCUCUGACGCUCUUGAUAUGAGGAAGUCUGCAAGACCCAAAUCAGAGGCUCCAGCCGAGGUUUCCUGCGUCGAGGUCAUUAACACAGUGGGCCAGAGCAGCGUCCUGAUUGGCUGGGAGAGGCCGCCACUGGACGAACUGGGCUGCAGCAACGGCACCUUUGUUUACGGCUACAGGGUGUUUGUCGACGGGAACUUCCACAAAUCUGUGUUGAGCUCAGCGUGCACCAAGUGUGUCCUGGAGAAUGUUGACCUAAGCCUCCCAGUCCAGAUCAGUGUCCAGACACUGGGACUGAAUGGUCGCACUUCAAACAGUGUACACACAAUGUACACACAACAUUGAUUCCUACUGCGUGACAAAAAUGUGAAGCUUCGUCCAUAGCAGCGCCUGAAUACAGGAUCCUCACCUGUGAGACACAUCCCUGGAAUAAUGUGUCCUGUUUGAAAUAGUCUCCUCUGGUCUUCACACACAAGGACUCAAAGCCUUACAGUGAUCACCACAAGAUGUCAAAGGCAACACGGCACUGCAGUCUUUCUCCAGACGAACAUGAGUUUAACGUUUAGGACUUAACACGCUCACAGUGAAAUAACAGAGUGGCAGCCAAACAAACAGAAAGCAGUUUUAAACAAGCGUUCAUCAAGCCAAGUGCAGCAACUUUUGAUAAGCUAACCAGAUGUAACUCACGUGAUCUCCAGUAAUGUGUGGGCAUUUCAAAGGGACGUCUGUCUGUUUACACUGUGGUGAUAGAAGUGGAGCUGUUCUUGAUCAGAACUGUUGGACAGUUACACACAACUGUACAACUCCAUUUUUAAACAUGAAGCCAAAUAUUUGGAAAGAAGAACAACUCCAAAGACUCACGAGUGCACAGGACUACACUGAAGCGAUGCUGGAGCUAGUUUACGUGUUCUAAUUUGCACAUAAUCAUUAGCGAUAUCUAAACGAAGGAGAUUUAAAAGAGAUUAUCACACAUAUAUUUUAUAGAGCUAAAUAUGCCAAUAUAUCACGUACUGCAUCAUUUCUAAGUGAUGCGUUGUUUUAUUCACACUCAAUAGAUGUCAUCUUUGCACUCUUAUUAUGGUAUUUUUUUUUAUUUAUAAAUGUUUACAGAUCACAUACUUUGUGUUUUUCUAAUUUAUUACAUGUAAAAGUGAAGUGAUUAUUAUGGUGCAGCUAAAGUAUUUUUCUAUACAUAAGUGAUCAAAUAUUUCUCAUUGAUUCCUUACCAGUGUACAGAGAAUAAAUGUUUAUAUGAUGCCA